UUACUUAGCUGUUGGAAGAGAUAACACAAUCAAAGGUGGUCUUCCCAAGGUGAGGCUUCCACUGCAGUCUGAAUGGCUGACCUCUGCAAGACUCAGCAGUGUGUGCUAGUGGGGGCCUGCCUCUGUGCUUGCCCAGG
rnacentral:snRNA from 1 species